AGAGUUUGAUCAUGGCUCAGGAUGAACGCUAGCGGCAGGCUUCAUACAUGCAAGUCGAGGGGCAGCAUAAAUUACUUGUAAUUUGAUGGCGACCGGCGAACGGGUGCGUAACGUGUAUGCAAUCUACCUUUUACUAGGGUAUAGCCCAGAGAAAUUUGGAUUAAUCCCCUAUAAUAUCAUGAAAUCGCAUGGUUUUAUGAUUAAAGCUUCGGCGGUAGAAGAUGAGCAUGCAUCCUAUUAGUUUGUAGGUGAGGUAACGGCUCACCUAGACUACGAUAGGUAGGGGCCCUGAGAGGGGGAUCCCCCACACUGGUACUGAGACACGGACCAGACUCCUACGGGAGGCAGCAGUGAGGAAUAUUGGACAAUGGACGAAAGUCUGAUCCAGCUAUGCCGCGUGCAGGAUGACAGCCCUACGGGUUGUAAACUGCUUUUAUACAGGAAGAAAAACCCCGACGUGUCGGGGCUUGACGGUACUGUAAGAAUAAGGAUCGGCUAACUCCGUGCCAGCAGCCGCGGUAAUACGGAGGAUCCAAGCGUUAUCCGGAAUUAUUGGGUUUAAAGGGUCCGCAGGCGGUUUUUUAAGUCAGAGGUGAAAUCCUACAGCUCAACUGUAGAAUUGCCUUUGAAACUGAAAGACUUGAGUUAUUGUGAAGUGGUUAGAAUGUGUGGUGUAGCGGUGAAAUGCAUAGAUAUCACACAGAAUACCAAUUGCGAAGGCAGAUCACUAACAAUUAACUGACGCUCAGGGACGAAAGCGUGGGUAGCGAACAGGAUUAGAUACCCUGGUAGUCCACGCCGUAAACGAUGACAACUAGCUGUUGGGAGACAAUGUCUUUCAGUGGCGCAGCUAACGUUUUAAGUUGUCCGCCUGGGGAGUACGGCCGCAAGGCUAAAACUCAAAUGAAUUGACGGGGACCCGCACAAGCGGUGGAGCAUGUGGUUUAAUUCGAUGCAACGCGAAAAACCUUACCUACUCUUGACAUACUUGGAAGCUCUUGUAAUGAGAGUGUGCCUUUUGGAGCCAAGAUACAGGUGCUGCAUGGCUGUCGUCAGCUCGUGUCGUGAGAUGUUCCGUUAAGUCGGAUAACGAGCGCAACCCUUACCCUUAUUUGCCAGCGAUUCGGUCGGGAACUAUAAGGGGACUGCCGGUGAUAAACCGGAGGAAGGUGAGGACGACGUCAAGUCAUCAUGGCCCUUACGAGUAGGGCUACACACGUGCUACAAUGGGGAAUACAGACGGACGCUAAGCCGCGAGGUGGUGCUAAUCCUAUAAAGUUCUUCGUAGUCCGGAUUGGAGUCUGCAACUCGACUCCAUGAAGUCGGAAUCGCUAGUAAUCGCGAAUCAGCAUGUCGCGGUGAAUACGUUCUCGGGUCUUGUACACACCGCCCGUCACACCAUGGAAGUGGAUUGCACCAGAAGUAGAUAGUCUAACCUUCGGGAGGGCGUUUACCACGGUGUGCUUCAUGACUGGGGUGAAGUCAUAACAAGGUAACCGUA
rnacentral:rRNA from 1 species